UGGGGAAUUUUGGUCAAUGGGGGAAACCCUGAUCAAGCCAUCCCGCGUGUGCGAUGAAGGCCUUCGGGUUGUAAAGCACUUCUGGCAGGAAAGAAACGUCAUGGGUUAAUACCCCGUGAAACUGACGGUACCUGCAGAAUAAGCACCGGCUAACUACGUGCCAGCAGCCGCGGUAAUACGUAGGGUGCAAGCGUUAAUCGGAAUUACUGGGCGUAAAGCGUGCGCAGGCGGUUCGGAAAGAAAGAUGUGAAAUCCCAGAGCUCAACUUUGGAACUGCAUUUUUAACUACCGGGCUAGAGUGUGUCAGAGGGAGGUGGAAUUCCGGGUGUAGCGGUGAAAUGCGUAGAUAUGCGGAAGAACACCGAUGGCGAAGGCAGCCUCCUGGGAUAACACUGACGCUCAUGCAAGAAAGCGUGGGGAGCAAACAGG
rnacentral:rRNA from 1 species